CAAAAUGGAAAAAGUGCUAGUGAACGUCUGUUUUUUCCUCUGCAUCAUUUUCAAAGAGCUGUCUGCCUUAAAGAUUCAAAACAAGCUGCUGGGUAAAUGUCUGCAGGUUACAGAAGGAACUGAAGGAGGUAGAGUGUCACUGGGCGAAUGCAGCCCACACUCACCUUUACAGGAAUGGCGUUGGCACCAAGAGAGCCAGACUGUCAGCAACUACCACACUGGAGAAUGUCUGACUGCACCACAAGAACAAUAUGAAGGUGUUCACCUGCAGCCCUGUGUCUUCAGAACUGCAAGUAGCAAGGAUGGUGAUAGAAAAGAGCCAGGAAGACAGGUAUGGACAUGCUCCAGAAAAGGCCACCUCACUGUGGUUGGGAAGGGGCUCCACCUUACUGCUACAAAAGAAUCCACUUUGGUCUUCCUUUCAAGAGGACAUAAGAAGAAGCAGGGCAGCAGGUGGAGAACACUUGACAGCCAGAUGCUAUGCAAUGGGAAAACCAGGCAACAUAAAAAUAUCAAUCCUCA
ensembl:lncRNA